rnacentral:rRNA from 1 species
CAGUCGCCGCGGUAAAACGGAGGGUGCAAGCGUUACUCGGAAUCACUGGGCGUAAAGGACGCGUAGGCGGAUUACCAAGUCUCUUGUGAAAUCUAACGGCUUAACCGUUAAACUGCUUGGGAAACUGAUAAUCUAGAGUAAGGGAGAGGCAGAUGGAAUUCUUGGUGUAGGGGUAAAAUCCGUAGAUAUCAAGAAGAAUACCUAUUGCGAAGGCGAUCUGCUGGAACUUAACUGACGCUAAUGCGUGAAAGCGUGGGGAGCAAACAGGAUUAGAUACCCCCGUAGUCCCUGUCUCUUAUAA